GACGAACGCUGGCGGCGUGCUUAACACAUGCAAGUCGAACGGAAAGGCCCUGCUUGCAGGGUACUCGAGUGGCGAACGGGUGAGUAACACGUGGGUGAUCUGCCCUGCACUUCGGGAUAAGCCUGGGAAACUGGGUCUAAUACCGGCUAGGAGCCAUUUUUAGUGUGAUGGUUGGAAAGUUUUUUCGGUGUAGGAUGAGCUCGCGGCCUAUCAGCUUGUUGGUGGGGUAAUGGCCUACCAAGGCGGCGACGGGUAGCCGGCCUGAGAGGGUGGACGGCCACAAUGGGACUGAGAUACGGCCCAGACUCCUACGGGAGGCAGCAGUGGGGAAUAUUGCACAAUGGGCGCAAGCCUGAUGCAGCGACGCCGCGUGGGGGAUGACGGCCUUCGGGUUGUGAACUCCUUUCGCUAGGGACGAAGCUUUUUGUGACGGUACCUAGAUAAGAAGCACCGGCUAACUACGUG
rnacentral:rRNA from 1 species